GAGAAGGCAGACAUCUUUGUAAGCUGAGCAGAUACUAAGUUGAGAAGACCACAACAGCAUUGUCAAUGGUGCAGACAUCACAGCAGCAGUAGCGAUGGAGGGGCUUCCUGUUUUCCUCAAGGAGGAGUGCUCCUGUCUCUUCAGGAAAUGCAUGGGCACAGAUGCUGUGGAGGAUUACAUGGAAGACAGAAGACGACCUCACCAUGACUAUCACCAAUAUUGCCAUCAUACUCCAAGAGACUGCUGCUCUACAAGACAUUAAGGAUAUUCCAGCUGCACACAUAUGUGUAUGUGUGUGCGCGUGCGUGCGUGUGUGUGUGUGUGUGCGAGUGCUUGUGUAUGGAUGCGCUCUGAGUGGUAUGCUCAGUGUGUGUGUUCUGACUGUCAUGCUCAGUGUUUGUGGUUGUACUGGAUACCUCUGACAUGAUAUUGCACAGACUGUUGGCUUGUAGUCAGCCUGUUAGCGCACACACACACACACACGCACACACACACACACACACAC